CAGUCGCCGCGGUAAUACAGAGGAUGCAAGCGUUAUCCGGAAUGAUUGGGCGUAAAGCGUGCGCAGGCGGUUAUAUAAGACAGAUGUGAAAUCCCCGGGCUCAACCUGGGACCUGCAUUUGUGACUGUAUAGCUAGAGUACGGUAGAGGGGGAUGGAAUUCCGCGUGUAGCAGUGAAAUGCGUAGAUAUGCGGAGGAACACCGAUGGCGAAGGCAAUCCCCUGGACCUGUACUGACGCUCAUGCACGAAAGCGUGGGGAGCAAACAGGAUUAGAUACCCCGGUAGUCCCUGUCUCUUAUAC
rnacentral:rRNA from 1 species